UACGGAGGGUGCAAACGUUGCUCGGAAUCAUUGGGCGUAAAGCGCACGUAGGCGGUUCGUUAUGUCGGAUGUGAAAGCCUCGGGCUUAACCCGAGAAGUGCAUCCGAAACUGGCGGGCUUGAGUACGGAAGAGGGUCUCGGAAUUUCCGGUGUAGAGGUGAAAUUCGUAGAUAUCGGGAGGAACACCAGUGGCGAAGGCGGAGACCUGGGCCGAUUCUGACGCUGAGGUGCGAAAGCGUGGGGAGCAAUCAGG
rnacentral:rRNA from 1 species